AUCUAUACUAUACUAAAAGGGGGAUAUAAGCCAUGAAGAGGGUGUCCACAUAGGAUAGAAAAAUCAACCAAUCAGAGAACCCGAAAUUGCCAUGUCAUCUCAUUUAUUUUUCGUAAAAAAUAAAAAAAAAAUGCGAAGGUGAGAAUCGAACCCGGGUUGGUAUGAUAUAUAUAUAGGACAGUUACCACUAAGCCAUUGACACUUUCUUGGACACAUAUACAAGAACCACUAAGUAUAUAAUCACAAACUUUUAUGUACAUUUACAAUAAUAUGAAUUCAACUUUCAAGACUCCGAUACUUUGUUUUGUAAAAAAAAAAUAAGUAAAUGACUAAGUUAAUAUAUUCUUAGAAAGUGUGAGAACGUUGACAAAUAUGAAAAAGCAUAGAUUUUUGUUUUCGUGACAAAGUUAAGAAUUUUGUAAAAUAAGUUUAACAUAUAAAUUUUCGUGACAAAUAUGAAAAA
rnacentral:lncRNA from 1 species